ACCUGGGGACACUGAGAGACAGGGACACUGGGAGACAUGGGGACACUGAGAGACUAGGGGCCACUGGGAGACAGGGAGCCACUGUGUCCCUAGUGUCUCAGGGUCCCCAUGUUCCCCAGUGUCCCUAUGUCUCCCAGUGUCCCCAAGUCUCAGUGUCCCCAAGUC